rnacentral:rRNA from 1 species
CGUAUGCAAUCUACCUUUUACAGAGGGAUAGCCCAGAGAAGUUUGGAUUAAUACCUCAUAGUAUUAUUGAAUGGCAUCAUUUAAUAAUUAAAGUCACAACGGUAAAAGAUGAGCAUGCGUCCCAUUAGCUUGUUGGUAAGGUAACGGCUUACCAAGGCAACGAUGGGUAGGGGUCCUGAGAGGGAGAUCCCCCACACUGGUACUGAGACACGGACCAGACUCCUACGGGAGGCAGCAGUGAGGAAUAUUGGUCAAUGGGCGCAAGCCUGAACCAGCCAUGCCGCGUGCAGGAUGACGGUCCUAUGGAUUGUAAACUGCUUUUGUACAGGAAGAAACAGUUCUACGUGUAGAACCUUGACGGUACUGUAAGAAUAAGGAUCGGCUAACUCCGUGCCAGCAGCCGCGGUAAUACGGAGGAUCCAAGCGUUAUCCGGAAUCAUUGGGUUUAAAGGGUCCGUAGGCGGUUUUGUAAGUCAGUGGUGAAAGCCCAUCGCUCAACGGUGGAACGGCCAUUGAUACUGCAAGACUUGAAUUAUUGGGAAGUAACUAGAAUAUGUAGUGUAGCGGUGAAAUGCUUAGAGAUUACAUGGAAUACCAAUUGCGAAGGCAGGUUACUACCAAUAUAUUGACGCUGAUGGACGAAAGCGUGGGGAGCGAACAGGAUUAGAUACCCUGGUAGUCCACGCCGUANACGAUGGAUACUAGCUGUUCGGAGCAAUCUGAGUGGCUAAGCGAAAGUGAUAAGUAUCCCACCUGGGGAGUACGUUCGCA